rnacentral:rRNA from 1 species
CCCUUAGAUGUUCUGGGCCGCACACGCGCUACACUGAUGCAUUCAACGAGUAAUCUUUGACCUUGGUCGACAGAUCUGGGUAAUCUUUUGAAAUUGCAUCGUGAUGGGGCUUGCGGGUUGCAAUUACCCGCACCAACGAGGAAUUCCUAGUAAACGCAAGUCAUCAACUUGCAUUGAUUACGUCCCUGCCCUUUGUACACACCGCCCGUCGCUCCUACCGAUUGAGCGGUCCGGUGAAGACUCAGGAGAUGGGCGCGUGCUUGGUUCGCCAACUGCGCUGCCUGCCAAAUUUGUCUAAACCUUAUCGCUUAGAGGAAGGAGAAGUCGUAACA